UGGCUCUCGCAUCGAUGAAGAACGCAGCGAAAUGCGAUAAGUAAUGUGAAUUGCAGAAUUCAGUGAAUCAUCGAAUCUUUGAACGCACCUUGCGCUCCUUGGUAUUCCGAGGAGCAUGCCUGUUUGAGUGUCAUGAAAUCUUCAACCUGCAAGCUUAUGUGGUUUGUAGGCUUGGACUUGGAGGCUUUGUCGGCCAUGCCCGGUCGGCUCCUCUCAAAUGCAUUAGCUUGGUUCCUUGCGGAUCGGCUCUCGGUGUGAUAAUGUCUACGCCGUGACCGUGAAGCGUUUGGCGAGCUUCUAAUCGUCUUGGUUAGAGACAGCUUUAUGACCUCUGACCUCAAAUCAGGUAGGACUACCCGCUGA
rnacentral:misc_RNA from 1 species